rnacentral:lncRNA from 1 species
GAGAGUGGGGAGAGGAACCAACCUCCACCUCUGCCGUGGCUGCUCGUGCCUCUGGCUGGGUUUGGGUUUUGUUCUGGCCAGCACCGGGAGCCGGCCCGUCCCCCUCGAUAUUGGGAAUAUUUCUGCGGGUGUCGUUGUGGUUGCAUCACAGAGCUCUCCUUCCUCAUCUCCAUUCUUGUGCAAAAUUCAAAUAAUUCCCCCCCCCUCCCCAUAGCAGCUGUGCAUGGGGUUUGUUGGGUUUUUUUUGGUUUGGUUUUUUUUUUUGAGUUUUUUUUUUUUUUAAGUCACUCUUUAACGUUGCAAAAGGAACAAUAAAAUGAAAGGCAAAACCGGCAUCUUAAAACUUGGCAAGUGAAAGCAGCUUGGACUGGCAGCCAAGAAUCCUGCUGUGGUGCAAAAAGAAUAGCAUCCACGGAGCCACCACAACCCGGGGCUGCUCCUCUUUUCACAACCGCGCCGGCACCGAGCAAUAAUUAUUCCUUGUAUCAGUGUUCAAAGAGUCAACAAGCUCCAAAAAGCUUGCUUGGGGAACCUCCUCCAAAGCAGAAUACGUUCCCGAGGAGUUGGGCCUAGCAAUAUGGCAGCGCACGUUCCAUAGGAAACCCUGCAGAACGCUGUUGCUGCUGCUGAGCUCCGUUCCCAAGGAGGGCACAAUCCCUGCCCCGCCCCGGCCUCCACCACUGCGGGCCCUGAGCUUUCUCCACCCCAAAAUUCCAUCCCUGGAUUUGCAAAGAUGCUGCAGCACGAAUUUUUGGCUGCUGAAAAAACUUUGGGAGAAGCUGGAUGCUUUUAAGGUGAGUGAAGUUGGAGGAUGAAUUUAGAUAACCUUUGGGCAGAUGGUGAAAGUUUAACAUCUAUAACAGGAGUUUCUUGCCGCCCAGCGAUUCCAAAUGAAGGAAAAAAAAAUUGUAUUUUAUAAUUGCAUAUUUAAAGGUUGAAGUGAUUUAUUUUAAGAACCUGCACCAAAAAAAAAAUAAAAAAAAAAAAAAAGAAGAGGGAGAAUUUUCU